rnacentral:tRNA from 1 species
GCUCGGUUAGCUCAGUUGGUUAGAGCGUGGUGCUAAUACAUUAUACGUAGCAUUCGAUUCGAGCGCGAUUCAGUUCGCGCUUCAGACACGUGGACGUUUGUAUUCAGUCUGAUGAAGAGAAACGCCAAGGUCAUCGGUUCGACCCCGGUACUGAGCA